UUUAUAUUUUAUUUUUUCUAAAUAAAAAAUAUUCGAAAUAUCCUUUUAAUUUUAAUAAUAAAUUCGUAUAUCAAUUAACAGAAUGCCUUCCUCCGACAAGGAACAGAUUUUAGCCGAAGAAGAAUAUAACAACAGAUACCUAUCAAAUUCCAACCACUGUGUCAAUGCCGCAUCUGGCUCACAUAAUGGCAACUCUUCGAAUCAAACUCAGCUUACAUCCCUAUUCGCCUUCGGGUGUUUUGUCGUAGCGACUAUAGCGUGCUGCCUCGUGUUCCCCAUGUUCUUCAUACAGGUCAACGGCGUUAAAACGCAACAAGUUCUGUUGUUGGAGAGACUCCAGAACGAAAUAGUGGAUGAACAGCCUCAGAUCGAAGGACUCAGCAGCUACGUCAAAUCUGUCGUCAUUAGCGAUGCGAUUUCCAAAGCACCUAUGAAACAGAUCCGACUCGGCAAAUUCCUUGUCAGGAAUAAAAGAACAUACGUUGCUGGAGAAUAUUUGCAAAAAUGCAAGGCAUGCGUAGAUGGCAAGCCCGGACAUGCUGGACCUGCCGGCCCCCCUGGAAAAGAUGGUGACAACGGACGCGACGGUCAACCAGGUCGUUCCGGACCUGACGGAAAACCGGGUAGAGAUGGAUCACCUGGCAGGCCUGGACCACAGGGGCCUCCUGGACCUAGAGGAACGGACGGAAAAGCUGGAAAUCCAGGGAGAGACGGAUCUGCUGGCGAUGCUGGAAAAGAUGGAAAUCCUGGCAGAGAUGGAAACCCAGGCAAACCCGGAGUUCCAGGCCCAGGCGGUAAACCAGGCCGUGACGGAAACAGUGGCAGACCUGGUUCCGACGGUAUUCCCGGUCGUGACGGUAAAUCUGGAGAACCCGGAAGGGAUGGAUCUCCUGGACAACCCGGAGAACAAGGAUCAGCUGGUACCCCCGGAAGUGACGGAAUACCUGGCAGAGCCGGAAAUCCAGGUAGAGAUGGCAAAGACGGAGAAUCAGGUGCACCCGGUAAUGAUGGCCGACCAGGAGCGGAUGGCGUUACGGGACCAGCCGGUCCGGACGGAAUUCCAGGCAAAGACGGAGAAGCAGGACGUCCUGGUAGCGAUGGAAGACCGGGGCGAGAUGGACAACCUGGAAAAGAUGGCCAACCCGGCUCCAGGGGAAAAUCGGGUAUCCCAGGGGGACCAGGAAAAGAUGGCAGGCCAGGUAACAAUGGUUUGGAUGGAGUUCCGGGUAAAGAUGGCGAAACCGGAAGGAACGGAGUUGACGGACAACCAGGAACCCCCGGAGAAAGAGGACCGACUGGACCUUCAGGUAACCCGGGCAAAGAUGGCGAUUCGGGUAGAGACGGUGUCGACGGAAGACCGGGAAAAGCUGGCCAACCCGGCAAAGAUGGCGAAUCUGGAAAACCCGGACCAGCCGGUAGACCAGGCCGUGCAGGCAAAGACGGAAUUCCAGGCCAACCUGGUUCCAGGGGAAGCGAUGGCGUUCCUGGCAAAGAUGGCUCUCCAGGGCGAGAUGGAGAGAGGGGAAGACCCGGAGCUAGAGGUCCAAGUGGAGACAGGGGUGAUGACGGAGUUCCCGGUAAAGAUGGUGAAUCAGGCCAAUCAGGAAAAGCCGGGAGACCCGGUAUCCCAGGUGUCAGAGGACCACCCGGCCCUCCAGGUCCAGAUGGACAGCCCGGUAAAGAUGGAGAGCCUGGUAGACCAGGAUCAAAUGGACUUAAAGGCGAAAGCGGUAGGCCAGGAAGAGAUGGUUUACCAGGAAGCCCCGGCGCCAGAGGAGAUAAUGGACAAGACGGGAAACCGGGAUCGCCAGGUUCCGACGGAACUCCCGGUCGUGACGGAAAUCCUGGUUUGGAUGGAGAACCUGGAGUUUGCCGAAACUGCCGUGUCACAGGACCUACCAUCGAAAAAGAAUCCUACGUCUGCUACAUUCACUGGGGUAAGGCCCGCUGCGGAGCUAACUCUCGAGAUGCCGAAACUAUUUACGACGGUUUCGUAUCUGGCGGCCAUUAUUUCUUUUCUGGUUCUGGUUAUGAUUAUCAAUGCCUUCCCAGAAACCCCGAUUACAAAUUCGUAUUAGAUGGCUACCAAUCUAAAGCUACUAUCUAUGGAGCCGAAUACAGACUUUACGACGAAAAUUCUCCAUUACUUCGCAAGGGUCACAAAUUUAACGUAGGUCUAUGUUCCUUGUGCUGCGUUCCGAGACCCGACCAAUACAUGUUCCCAGGAUUUACCCGCUGUCCCUCAACGUGGACCCUGGAAUACAGGGGAUACAUUAUGUCCGCCAAUGAAGAAUUGAGUAGAGCCACUUACAUCUGCGUCGAUGAGGAUGCGGAAUACGAAGCCAGUUCGACUCCCGGUGACGGCGCUUCCUUGUACAUAGUCGAGGUCAAGAGCGGAAACCUCCCCUCCUCUUACAAAGAUGGUAGAGAAUUGGCGUGCGUUGUGUGCUCCCAUUAAGGCGUUUUUAGGCCGAUGGAUUGUAAAUUAAACUUUGUCGUGCAUUUAACAAACAAAAAGAUAAAAGCUAAAGUUUUGAACGUCGAAUGUUAUUCAAGCAAAAUAUUAUAAUCUUCUUCUUUUUUUUAUGAGUGGAUAUUAAAUAUUUUUCAUAUUUUCAUAUUUUCAUAUUUUCAUA